GAUGAACGCUAGCGGCAGGCCUAAUACAUGCAAGUCGAACGGAUAUAUGUUUUUCGGAAUAUAUAUUAGUGGCGCACGGAUGAGUAACACGUACAUAACUUGCCCUCAAGCGGGGGAUAGCCUUGGGAAACUGAGAGUAAUACCCCAUAGAAUUAUUGGACGGCAUCGUUUGAUAAUUAAAACUACGGUGUUUGGGGAUAGAUGUGCGUCUGAUUAGCUAGUUGGUGAGGUAACUGCUCACCAAGGCGACGAUCAGUAGGGGGCGUGAGAGCGUGGCCCCCCACACGGGUACUGAGACACGGACCCGACUCCUACGGGAGGCAGCAGUAAGGAAUAUUGGUCAAUGGAGGGAACUCUGAACCAGCCAUGCCGCGUGAAGGAUGACGGCCCUCUGGGUUGUAAACUUCUUUUGGAUGGGGCGAAAAAACGGGAUUUAUCCUGGACUGACGGUACCAUCAGAAUAAGCACCGGCUAACUCCGUGCCAGCAGCCGCGGUAAAGUCAC
rnacentral:rRNA from 1 species